CCUACGGGAGGCAGCAGUGGGGAAUUUUGGACAAUGGGCGCAAGCCUGAUCCAGCAAUGCCGCGUGCAGGAUGAAGGCCUUCGGGUUGUAAACUGCUUUUGUACGGAACGAAACGGUCCUUUCUAAUACAAGGGGCUAAUGACGGUACCGUAAGAAUAAGCACCGGCUAACUACGUGCCAGCAGCCGCGGUAAUACGUAGGGUGCGAGCGUUAAUCGGAAUUACUGGGCGUAAAGCGUGCGCAGGCGGUUAUAUAAGACAGAUGUGAAAUCCCCGGGCUCAACCUGGGACCUGCAUUUGUGACUGUAUAGCUAGAGUGCGGCAGAGGGGGAUGGAAUUCCGCGUGUAGCAGUGAAAUGCGUAGAUAUGCGGAGGAACACCGAUGGCGAAGGCAAUCCCCUGGGCCUGCACUGACGCUCAUGCACGAAAGCGUGGGGAGCAAACAGGAUUAGAUACCCUGGUAGUCCACGCCCUAAACGAUGUCAACUGGUUGUUGGGUCUUCACUGACUCAGUAACGAAGCUAACGCGUGAAGUUGACCGCCUGGGGAGUACGGCCGCAAGGUUGAAACUCAAAUGAAUUGACGGCUGAGACGNGACGAGACGACGACGAGGGAGAGG
rnacentral:rRNA from 1 species